GCAUACCUAUGUGUUAUUAUAUAUACUGAAAAACAGUUUUUGUCAAAUUUAAUUCUGGAUACUACUGUAAUCAGUUGUAGUAUAUAAACAUAUUCGUCAUAACAUUUUGCAUUUAGCAAUGUGAAAGAAAAACUGCAAUUAUGUAUAUUUCCUUUUUACUACCCUUAUGUGCAAUGUCAAGAACUCGUAAUUUGCAAAAGCAUAUCUUAAUACAGGCCACAGCCAGCAACAACAAAGGAAGGGUAUAUCUUCAAUUUCUUUAUCUCUAAUUAUAGUUUCAAGAAUAUAUUUUCUUCAUACAGUAUUCUCCAUUAAUAAACUCCAUGGGUUUCACCAGAGAUAUCUCUUUCAGGUCAAUUUCAGAAUCAAA